rnacentral:misc_RNA from 1 species
GGAUGAAGAACGUAGCGAAAUGCGAUAAUUAAUGUGAAUUGCAGAAUUCAGUGAAUCAUCGAGUCUUUGAACGCACAUUGCGCCCCAUGGUAUUCCGUGGGGCAUGCCUGUCUGAGCGUCAGCAACACCACUCAAGCAUAGCUUUAUUGCCUUGCUUGGACUAUAUCAGAGAAGCAGUUUGUUUACUAACCGCCCUCUGAAAAUUGAUAGAUGGUCAGGUUGUCACACUAUGCCAAACGUCAUAUGAUUUACAUCGUUCGUUUGCAUUGGUUGAUAUCUUGAUAGUCAUUGAACCCACAGUGUAUGCUGUUUUUUUUCUGACUUGACCUCAGAUCAGGUAGGGAUACCCGCUGAACUUAAGCAUAUCAAUAAGCGGAGGA